rnacentral:pre_miRNA from 1 species
AAAGUACUCCCUCCGUCCGAAAAUACUUGUCAUCAAAAUGGAUAAAAAGAGAUGUAUCUAGAAUUAAAAUACGUCUAGAUACAUCCCCUUUUAUCCAUUUUGAUGACAAAUAUUUCCGGACGGAGGGAGUAUGCA